rnacentral:rRNA from 1 species
UCCUACGGGAGGCAGCAGUAGGGAAUCUUCCGCAAUGGGCGAAAGCCUGACGGAGCGACGCCACGUGGAUGAUGAAGGCCUUCGGGUCGUAAAAUCCUGUCAGGGGGGACGAUGGUCGAUCUUCGGAUUGAUUGACGGUACCCUCAGAGGAAGCUCCGGCCAACUACGUGCCAGCAGCCGCGGUAAUACGUAGGGAGCAAGCGUUGUUCGGAUUUACUGGGCGUAAAGAGUGCGUAGGCGGUUAUAUAAGUCAAAGGUGAAAUCUUCACUUUCAAGGUGGAAACUGCCUCUGAUACUGUAUAACUAGAGGGCAAGAGGGGGAAAUGGAACUCUGGGAGUAGCGGUGAAAUGCGUAGAUAUCCAGAGGAACGCCGGUAGCGAAGGCGAUUUCCUGGCUUGCAUCUGACGCUGAGGCACUAAAGCUAGGGUAGCGAUCGGGAUUAGAUACCCCAGUAGUCCAAGCCGAAUUCCAGCA